ACCAGGAACAGACCUACCAGCGCCUGUUACAGGAGAAUGCUCGCUUCCCAGGUAUCCUGGCUCGUUUGGAGGAAGACCCCAUCUGCCAGCGUCUUCCCCUCGCCUCCUUCCUCAUCCUUCCGUUCCAGAGGAUCACACGGCUUAAGAUGCUGGUGGAGAAUAUCCUAAAGAGGACAACACCAGGCUCUAGAGAUGAGGACACAGCCACCA